AUUGAACGCUGGCGGCAUGCCUUACACAUGCAAGUCGAACGGUAACAGGUCUUCGGAUGCUGACGAGUGGCGAACGGGUGAGUAGUACAUCGGAACGUGCCCGAUCGUGGGGGAUAACGCAGCGAAAGCUGUGCUAAUACCGCAUACGAUCUACGGAUGAAAGCGGGGGAUCGCAAGACCUCGCGCGGACGGAGCGGCCGAUGGGCAGAUUAGGUAGUUGGUGGGAUAAAAGCUUACCAAGCCGACGAUCUGUAGCUGGUCUGAGAGGACGACCAGCCACACUGGGACUGAGACACGGCCCAGACUCCUACGGGAGGCAGCAGUGGGGAAUUUUGGACAAUGGGCGCAAGCCUGAUCCAGCCAUGCCGCGUGCAGGAUGAAGGCCUUCGGGUUGUAACGUGCUUUUGUACGGAACGAAAAGCUCUCUCUAAUACAGGGGUGAAUGACGGUACCGUAAGAAUAAGACACCGGCUAACUACGUGCCAGCACG
rnacentral:rRNA from 1 species